GGGGUAGGACGAUCAAUUGUAUUUUGGUUCCGUUCACAUUGCAUUAUUAGUUACUAGGGGAGGCUAGGGAUAGCAAGCCGAUAAUUAAUAAUAGGCUCUUUUCACCAAGGGAUUGGGUUAAGGGUAGGCUAGAAAGUUUGCAUGACAAUUGGAUAAAUAAGUGAAGUAAAUAAUAAAAGUAGAUAUAUGAGAGUGGAUAAGAUGAAAUUGUAAACCCCAACAACACCUUUGAUCCAUAGUUUUUCAAAGCCAAUUGAAUCACUGCAUUUGCAUGUUUACUUUUGUUCUUAGCAUACAAACAACAACUUAAUUCUUUUCUUAAGUCUUACGCGAUUUGUUUACAUGAAAAGUAAGGCCUAAGAGUCCUUUGGGAAGAACGAUAUUGGGUUUACCAAUUAUAUUAC
rnacentral:lncRNA from 1 species